rnacentral:rRNA from 1 species
UUAAGCCAUGCGAGUCGAACGAGUUUAGGCUCGUGGCGUACGGCCCAGUAACACGUGGAUAACCUACCCUUAGGACCGGGAUAACCUUGGGAAACUGAGGAUAAUACUGGAUAGGCAAUUAUUUCUGCAAUGGUUUUUUGUUUAAAUGUUUUUUCGCCUAAGGAUGGGUCUGCGGCCGAUCAGGUAGUUGGUUAGGUAAAGGCUUACCAAGCCGUUGAUCGGUACGGGUUGUGAGAGCAAGAGCCCGGAGAUGGAACCUGAGACAAGGUUCCAGGCCCUACGGGGUGCAGCAGGCGCGAAACCUCCGCAAUGUGAGAAAUCGCGACGGGGGGAUCCCGAGUGCCAUUCUUAACGGGAUGGCUUUUCAUUAGUGUAAAGAGCUUUUGGAAUAAGGGCUGGGCAAGACCGGUGCCAGCCGCCGCGGUAA